rnacentral:rRNA from 1 species
UGGGUGGCGCAGCUAACGCAUUAAGUUAUCCGCCUGGGGAGUACGGCCGCAAGGUUAAAACUCAAAGGAAUUGACGGGGGCCUGCACAAGCGUGGAGCAUGUGGUUUAAUUCGAAGCAACGCGCAGAACCUUACCAGCGUUUGACAUGGUAGGACGACUUCCAGAGAUGGAUUUCUUCCCUUCGGGGACCUACACACAGGUGCUGCAUGGCUGUCGUCAGCUCGUGUCGUGAGAUGUUGGGUUAAGUCCCGCAACGAGCGCAACCCUCGACUUUAGUUACCAUCAUUAAGUUGGGUACUUUAAAGUAACCGCCGGUGAUAAGCCGGAGGAAGGUGGGGAUGACGUCAAGUCCUCAUGGCCCUUACGCGCUGGGCUACACACGUGCUACAAUGGCAAGUACAGUGGGCAGCAAUCCCGCGAGGGUGAGCUAAUCUCCAAAACUUGUCUCAGUUCGGAUUGUUCUCUGCAACUCGAGAGCAUGAAGGCGGAAUCGCUAGUA